ensembl:lncRNA
CCACCCAUGUUUUUCUCCCAGUGAAGCGUCAUAGAAUUCAUUGCUAAGUAGUUCACUGAACCUUCAUUUGAUCCUUACUCUUAGCUGAGGAUUCAUCAUACGCAGUUGUCUUCAUGUCAUCUUGGAUUCACAGCAAAAGUUAAUUAUAUGAACCAAGAUAAGAGACUGGGAUUAGUGGCUUAAUACAGCUGACAUGGUGCUUCUGCUCCAGAAGGCUGGAGGACAGCUGCUGCUGCAACACUACCCAGGCUCAGCUCAUGCAGGGGGCACAGUUGGAGGCACUGGAAGGUUGGCUGUUCCCAAUAUAGGACAAGCAACAUUUAACAUCAUAGCAAUCAGCAGUGAUCAAAGCUACUUCAGCUGAAAGUUUGUUUUUGUCUGUGAUACCAAGUCUAAUGUGCCACAGAGCACACUGACUGCAUAUGAUCCUUUCCACUGAAGGGAUAAGUCCUCAGCAAGAUACACAGCACGGAACAUGUCAACUUUCUUUGUUGUUUAUGAUAUCUUCUCUGAGAAGUGGCUGUACUGGCAGAAGAAAUGCUGCCAAGGGCAAGAUGAGUUCCUUAAAAUGUCAAAAUUAUCAUUACUCUUCCUUCAUCAAAGACCUACUUCAGACAAAUCACUAGGAAGCUCACCCUUUCGUGAGGAUCCUUCCUGUCAGAAGACUCAAUUCCUCUCUCUCCCACACCACAAGUCCCUUCCCAUCUCUUCACAUGACACUCCUGUGACAUCCUCCGCACUGUGAGCCACCACAGUGCAACAGGAGGAACGUCUUAGAAACACUAAGACAACGUUUUCUUCCUCUUAAGGUUGCACUCCCUGUGAAUUUUAAUCACUCUUGAAAAGGAUCUUCUUGCUGUGAUGCUUAUAAAAAACAACCCAAAACACCAUCAAUGUGAAGGUUUGGUGAGCUCAGACAAGCAUUCGUCAGGUUACUCUGACCCCACUAGACAGGGUGUCCUUCCAAAGGCCUCCCUCAGGGCAAUCUCCUCAAUGCCUGUAGUCUGGUUUUCAGAGUACCCAUAAAAAUGCCCCUCCUAACCCCCAUCAGCACAGUCUAGUGCAAUGAGUCUUUUUGGGUCAGAGCUUCUCCUGGGGAGUUCUUCUCUUCGUUCCCCCCUCUGCCCCAUUUCCUCUCACCUAACAGUAAGUAUUUGAAUUCCUCAGCAGGCUGCAAAUAGAAAUCAACAGGAAGGGCAAACAGGGUUGAUCAGCUUUGCACACAGCAGUAGGUCUUGCUGCAGUCAUCAAGAAUUAUCAGAUGAGUUUCAGCCCUGAGUCAGAGGCAGCAAGGAUGGUAUGCUACACAAGCAAGUACACAAAGAAAGUUUCAUUUCAGUGUCACUGAAAAGACUCCAAGAAGCAAGAUCUGGGAGCAGGUAGCACAGUGCCUUCAAACCAACCAUUUCAGAUUUACACCUGUGCUACCCUAC